AAUGAACGCUGGCGGCAUGCCUAACACAUGCAAGUCGAACGAAGGCUUCGGCCUUAGUGGCGCACGGGUGCGUAACGCGUGGGAAUCUGCCCUUGGGUUCGGAAUAACUCAGAGAAAUUUGAGCUAAUACCGGAUGAUGACGUAAGUCCAAAGAUUUAUCGCCCAAGGAUGAGCCCGCGUAGGAUUAGCUUGUUGGUGAGGUAAAAGCUCACCAAGGCGACGAUCCUUAGCUGGUCUGAGAGGAUGAUCAGCCACACUGGGACUGAGACACGGCCCAGACUCCUACGGGAGGCAGCAGUGGGGAAUAUUGGACAAUGGGCGAAAGCCUGAUCCAGCAAUGCCGCGUGAGUGAUGAAGGCCUUAGGGUGUAAAGCUCUUUUUACCCGGGAAGAUAAUGACCGUACCGGGAGAAUAAGCCCCGGCUAACUCCGUGCCAGCAGCCGCGGUAAU
rnacentral:rRNA from 1 species